GACGAACGCUGGCGGCGUGCCUAACACAUGCAAGUCGAGCGGAGAUAAGCGGAUGGUAACUGAAGCUUAUCUUAGCGGCGGACGGGUGAGUAACACGUGGGCAACCUGCCUUGAAGUGGGGGGAUAACACCGGGAAAUCGGUGCUAAUACCGCAUAACAUACACAAACUGCAUGGUAAGUGUAUCAAAGGAGCAAUCCGCUUUAAGAUGGGCCCGCGGCUGAUUAGCUAGUUGGUAAGGUAACGGCUUACCAAGGCGACGAUCAGUAGCCGACCUGAGAGGGUGACCGGCCACACUGGAACUGAGACACGGUCCAGACUCCUACGGGAGGCAGCAGUGGGGAAUAUUGCGCAAUGGGGGGAACCCUGACGCAGCAACGCCGCGUGGAGGAAGAAGGUCUUCGGAUUGUAAACUCCUGUCUUCUGGGACGAAUAAUGACGGUACCAGAGGAGGAAGCCACGGCUAACUACGUG
rnacentral:rRNA from 1 species